rnacentral:rRNA from 1 species
GACAGAGGGUGCGAACGUUGUUCGGAAUUACUGGGCGUAAAGCGCAUGUAGGCGGCCGCGCAGGUCGGGUGUGAAAGCCCUCGGCUCAACCGAGGAAGUGCACUCGAAACCGCGUGGCUCGAGUCCCGGAGAGGAAGGUGGAAUUCUUGGUGUAGAGGUGAAAUGCGCAGAUAUCAGGAGGAACACCGGUGGCGAAGGCGGGUCUCUGGGCCGAUACUGACGCUGAGGAGCGAAAGCGUGGGGAGCGAACAGG